rnacentral:rRNA from 1 species
UGGGGAAUAUUGCACAAUGGGCGCAAGCCUGAUGCAGCCAUGCCGCGUGUGUGAAGAAGGCCUUCGGGUUGUAAAGCACUUUCAGCGAGGAGGAAGGUGGUGAGCUUAAUACGCUCAUCAAUUGACGUUACUCGCAGAAGAAGCACCGGCUAACUCCGUGCCAGCAGCCGCGGUAAUACGGAGGGUGCAAGCGUUAAUCGGAAUUACUGGGCGUAAAGCGCACGCAGGCGGUUUGUUAAGUCAGAUGUGAAAUCCCCGGGCUCAACCUGGGAACUGCAUUUGAAACUGGCAAGCUAGAGUCUCGUAGAGGGGGGUAGAAUUCCAGGUGUAGCGGUGAAAUGCGUAGAGAUCUGGAGGAAUACCGGUGGCGAAGGCGGCCCCCUGGACGAAGACUGACGCUCAGGUGCGAAAGCGUGGGGCAGCAAACAGGAUUAGAUACCCUGGUAGUCCACGCUGUAAAACGAUGUCGAUUUUGGAGGUUGUGCCCUUGAGGCGUGGCUUCCGGAGCUAACGCGUUAAAUCGACCGCCUGGGGAGUACGGCCGCAAGGUUAAAACUUAAAUGAAUU